GACGUUAGCGGCGGACGGGUGAGUAACACGUGGGCAACCUGCCCCUUAGACUGGGAUAACUCCGGGAAACCGGAGCUAAUACCGGAUAAUCCCUUUCUCCACCUGGAGAGAGGGUGAAAGAUGGCUUCGGCUAUCACUAGGGGAUGGGCCCGCGGCGCAUUAGCUAGUUGGUAAGGUAACGGCUUACCAAGGCAACGAUGCGUAGCCGACCUGAGAGGGUGAUCGGCCACACUGGGACUGAGACACGGCCCAGACUCCUACGGGAGGCAGCAGUAGGGAAUCUUCCGCAAUGGACGAAAGUCUGACGGAGCAACGCCGCGUGAGUGAGGAAGGCCUUCGGGUCGUAAAGCUCUGUUGUGAGGGAAGAAGCGGUACCGUUCGAAUAGGGCGGUACCUUGACGGUACCUCACCAGAAAGCCACGGCUAACUACGUGCCAGCAGCCGCGGUAAUACGUAGGUGGCAAGCGUUGUCCGGAAUUAUUGGGCGUAAAGCGCGCGCAGGCGGCUUCUUAAGUCUGAUGUGAAAUCUCGGGGCUCAACCCCGAGCGGCCAUUGGAAACUGGGGAGCUUGAGUGCAGAAGAGGAGAGUGGAAUUCCACGUGUAGCGGUGAAAUGCGUAGAGAUGUGGAGGAACACCAGUGGCGAAGGCGACUCUCUGGUCUGUAACUGACGCUGAGGCGCGAAAGCGUGGGGAGCAAACAGGAUUAGAUACCCUGGUAGUCCACGCCGUAAACGAUGAGUGCUAGGUGUUAGGGGUUUCGAUGCCCGUAGUGCCGAAGUUAACACAUUAAGCACUCCGC
rnacentral:rRNA from 2 species